UAUUACCUCUCAUUCCCACUAAUUCCCAACUAUUACCUCUCAUUCCCACUAAUUCCCAACUAUUACCUCUCAUUCCCACUAAUUCCCAACUAUUACCUCUCAUUCCCACUAAUUCCCAACUAUUACCUCUCAUUCCCACUAAUUCCCAACUAUUACCUCUUAUUCCUUGGAAUUCCUUGGAAAAAGUUCCUAGGAAUUCCAAAAUCCAAUUUUCAAGGGUUAAUUUGGACUGAGCUGUAGGAUUGCAAACUUAUAAUGAACCAAAAUUCAGCAUUGCCACAUGUAAUCAUGUCUAAAACACCAGCAGCUUAUUGCUAAAGCUUUAAAGUCGGGUUUUGAAAUGUAACUCGUGUUAUUUCUAUGAUAAGCUAGAACACAAUGAAUUGUGUGGCUUGUUAGCUGAUAUCACUUAGCUCUAAUAUCAAUAUUACUAUUGCAGUGAAAGAGGUAGGAAGUUCACUAGUGGCAACACAGCUGUAAACCAGCUCUAGGAAUGGUGUUGUUUCAGAACUAAGUUUCAUGAGGCAGCAGACAGAAUUACUGAGGAAUAGCUCAUUGCAAUAGUUCCUGAAAUUGUCACUUCUGUGUGCCGUUAUAGGGAGUCAACAUUCAGAACUUUACCACCAGCUGGGCCAAUGGCCUGGAUAUGUGUGCCCUGUUGAAUUACUUCCUACCCGAGAAGAUUCCAUAUGAAACUCUGAAUCCUGAAGACAAAAAGGGGAAUUGGACGAUGGCCUUUAGAGUCGCAAAUGAGGAGGGCAUUGAACCUUUGUUGGAGUUGGAAGACGUUAUGGCUGUUGAUGUCCCUGAACCCAAAAGUCUGAUCACUUAUCUCCAUUUUGUCUACCAACACUUUUCAGAGAAAAAACAACAGCAACAAAAAGCAUAGACAAGUUCCACUGAGGAUCAGGUUCUUGAUGCUGUCUGUGCUUUAAUCCUUCUUGAGCAUAAUAAUAUAUUUUAAAUCAGGAUUAAUGAAUUCAUUUUUAGAGUUACAGGAGAGAGAGAGAGAGAUCCAAGUCCGAGUUCUCUCUCUGUUUUCAGUGUCCUGGAAUGUUCUUAUUUUAUCCUUUCAGUUAGAGUUAUGAUGCAGCUCUUGCUUAAUUUUAUAGUAGUUGAAAUGAUAUAAUAUUAUGUAAAUGUAUUUUAAUAACAUAGUUUUAGA